AGUAUUAUUACUCACUAAUUAUUAUUGGCUUGAAGUCAGUGGUCUUCAGGAUGUCAUUUUCUAUGAACAUAAGUGAAAGCCAGUUGAAAUGA